rnacentral:lncRNA from 1 species
CCCAGAAGGUCUAGAAAGGUCCUGGAAGGUGCAGGAAGGUUCAGAGAAGGUUCCAGAAGGUGCAGAAAGGUUCAGAGAAGGUUCUAGAAGGUGCAGAAAGGGCCGAAAAACAGCCCAAAACCAGCCCAGACAGGUCCUGGAAGAUACAUAAAAAGCCCCAAAAUUCCGCGAAAAAAAUCCCAAAAAAUUCCCAAAAAAUCCCAGAAGGUUCCGGAAGGUUCCGGAAGGCCCCGGACGCACUUGUCGCCCCGGAAGAGGUAGGUGUGGCCGCUGGGCAGCCAGAGCAGGGCGGCGUCCACGCGGUCGCUGGGGACGCCGCGGCCGAGCUCCGAGAGGGGCCGGGGGUAGCCCGGGAGCAGCAGCCCCUCGUCGAACACCCAGUGCCG